CAGUCGCCACGGGAAUACGUAGGUGGCAAGCGUUGUCCGGAAUUAUUGGGCGUAAAGGGCUCGCAGGCGGUUUCUUAAGUCUGAUGUGAAAGCCCCCGGCUCAACCGGGGAGGGUCAUUGGAAACUGGGAAACUUGAGUGCAGAAGAGGAGAGUGGAAUUCCACGUGUAGCGGUGAAGUGCGUAGAGAUGUGGAGGAACACCAGUGGCGAAGGCGACUCUCUGGUCUGUAACUGACGCUGAGGAGCGAAAGCGUGGGGAGCGAACAGGAUUAGAUACCCCAGUAGUCCCUGUCUCUUAUAC
rnacentral:rRNA from 1 species